rnacentral:lncRNA from 1 species
AAGAACCAGAACAAUAUCAAAUUGAGUGGAAAAAAAGACAAUAGAUGUUAAUAUUGAGAUAACAAAAAAGAUAGAUUUAUAUGAGAUUUUAAAGGAAAAUCAUAAAAAUACUUCAACAAGCAAUUAUGAGUAUGCUGAAACAAUCAAAUUAAAAGUCUCAGCAAGGAACUAUAAUGUUAAAUUAAGGAAACAGAAGACAAAGAAGAACCAAAUGGAAAUCUUAGAACUGAAAAAUACAAAAACCAAAAUAAAAGCCUCAGUAGUUGGCUCCAACAAUAAAACGGACAGAGGAAAACACACACACACACACACACACACACACACAGUGGAUUGUUAAAUAAAACAAUAGAAAUUAUCCCAUCUGAACAACAGAGAAGAAAAAGACUGAACAAAUGAAUAAAUAGAGCCCUAGGGACCUAUGGUACAAUAACAAAAGAUCUAGCAUUCAAGGUGUCAAAGCCUUAGAAGGAAAAGAAAAAGACAACAGGCUGGAAAAAUCCCUAGAGACAUAACAGCUGAGCCAUGCUGCACACCCGUAAUCCCAGCAAUUUGGAAGGCUGAGGCAGGAUGAUUCCAAGUUCAAAGUCAAACUGAGCAAUUUUGCUAGACCCUGACUAAAACUAAAAACCAAAAAGGGCUGGGAUGUAGCUCAGUAGUAAAGGGCCCUAGGUUCAAUCCCUACUGCAUGAAUGAAUGAAAGAAUAAAUGCUGAAAAUUCCCCAAAUUUGAAGAGAUUCAUAAGCCUGCAUAUUCAAGAAGCCUAGUGAACCUCAAACAGAAUAAUCCUAAAGAAAUCAACACCAUUUACAAUAUAAUUAAACUUCUAAGAACCUAAAACCAAAAAAAAAAAAAAAGAAUCUUGAAAGCAACUAGAGAAAAAUUCCACAUUACAUGUAGAGGAAAAAACAAUUAAGUAAGAGCAAAUCUCUUAUCAGAAACCAUAAAAGUCAGGAAGUAGUAACAACACAUUUUUCUAGUACUGAAAGAAAAGAACUGUCAAUCCAGAAUUCUAGAACCAGUGGAAAAAGUCUUCAGGAAUUAAGAGAAAACACAAUGCAUUCAUCAAAAAAAAAAAAAGCUAAGAAUAUGUUUCAAAAAGACCCACCCUAAAAGAAGGACUAAAUGAAGUUCUCAAAAUAGAAAACAAAAGAAGGAAUCUGGGAACAUAAAGAAAGAACACAAUAAGCAAAAAUAUGGACUGUCCUUGUCUUCCUAAAUUGUUUCCUAAAUUAUGUUUGACAGUUGAUAUAAAAAUCAUAACAUGUUGUUCUAAAUGUACGUUCAAUUAUGUUAUAAAUGGGAGAAAACAAUAAGACACAAGGGAAGUAAGAUUUCUGUACUUCACUGGAAUUGAUAAAAUGACACCAAUAAUAGACAACUUAUGUUUAUAUAAUGCAAAACCUACAGGAGCCACUGAAAGCACUAUACAAAGAGAUGUGUUAAAAAACACUAUAGUUAAGCCAAAUGGAAUUCCUUGCCAUAGGAAGGCAAGGGGGAAAAAAGUAGAAAAAUAAAAGAAUAGAAAACAAAAAUUAAAUGGCAACUUUAGACCUAAAAUAUCUGUAUUUACAAUAAAUACAAGUAGUCCAAAUAUACCAGUUAAAAAAUUGGCAAAAUGAACUCAAUACAGGACUUAACUACAUGCUAUCUAAAAGAAAUUUACUUCAAACAUAAUGAUAAGUGGGCUGAAAAUAAAACAUGCAUCAUGCAAACAUCAAUUAGAAGAAAGCAUUAAAAAAAGAAAGCGUGAGUGGCUAUGUUACUAUCAAAUAAAGCAAACAUCAGAGCAAAUUAUUAAAGAUGAAGAGAGAGGCGUUACGUAAUGAUGAAAGGGUCAAUCUACCAAGAAGAUAUAGCAGUCCAAAUAUUUAUACACAAAGCAGUUGUAACAUGUGGAACAAAAACUAAUAGAACCAAAAAGAAAUAGACAAAUCACAAUUAUAAUUAGAGACUUCAACAAUUUCUCUCAAUAAUUUAGAGAACAAGUAGAUAGAAAAUCAGCAUGGAUACAGAAGACCACCACCACCAAAAGAAUUAACAUUUAUGGAAUGUUCCUGCUAACAAGACCAGGAUAAUUAUCGUUAUGAAGUGCCCACAGAACAUGCAACAAAAUAAAUCAUAUCUUGUGCUAAGAGCCAAGUAUAUGAUGCAUGGCAUUUUUGGUCGAAAGGUGACGCCAGCUAGCCAUUGAGAUGAUAUGAUUAUGUUAAGAUUUGCA